AUUGUUGACGGCGAACUCCACCUGCCACGGCGGUGUAUUAGAACGAUGACGUCCAAUAGCUUUCAGUUGGGUGGUACUGGAUUUGGAAAUGACAAGGCCCCGUCUACCGGCAGUGGAGAGGGUGACUUCACGAAUGACCCAGCUAGCAGCGGUUUCUUUUCUGAGAAUUUUAAACGACAUGAAGAUCUUAAAGCCAUGCUUGAUGGAAAUAAGGAUAACCUAAAACUGGAUGCUAUGAAGAGAAUUAUAGGGAUGGUAGCAAAGGGGAAAGAUGCUUCAGAUCUAUUUCCAGCUGUUGUGAAAAAUGUGGUUUCCAAAAACUUAGAGGUCAAGAAGCUUGUGUAUGUCUACCUGACAAGGUAUGCUGAGGAGCAGCAGGACCUGGCCCUCUUGUCCAUCAGUACAUUUCAGCGAGCACUCAAGGACCCCAAUCAGCUGAUCAGAGCCAGUGCCCUGAGGGUCCUGUCCAGUAUCCGUGUCCUCAUGAUCUCCCCCAUCAUGAUGCUGGCCAUCAAAGAAGCUGUGAUGGACAUGUCACCGUAUGUCAGAAAGACGGCAGCUCAUGCUAUCCCAAAGCUUUACAGCCUGGACCCUGAAAGCAAGGAGCAGCUUGUUGAAGUAAUUGAGAAGUUGCUAGGAGACAAGACCACUUUAGUAGCUGGGAGUGCCAUACAAGCCUUUGAGGAGGUAUGUCCAGAGAGAAUUGACCUGAUUCACAAGAAUUACAGAAAACUGUGCAACCUGUUGGUGGAUGUAGAAGAAUGGGGUCAAGUGGUCAUUGUUGGGAUGAUGACUCGCUAUGCUAGAACCCAGUUUGUCUCGCCCAAUCAAGAGGGUGCUGGAGAAGAUGGCAAGAAUUUCUAUGAAUCAGAGGAGGAUGAGGAUGAAAAGGAGGAAACAGAAGAAAAUGAAGAUGAGCCUAAGAAGAAGCCGUACAUUAUGGAUUCAGAUCAUCGCCUGUUACUGAGACAGACCAAACCACUGCUCAACAGUCGCAAUGCCGCUGUUGUAAUGUCUGUGGCACAACUUUACCAUCACUGUGCUCCCAAGUCAGAAGUGGGCGUAGUGGCCAAGGCUCUGAUUCGCCUACUGAGAGGUCACAAGGAAGUCCAGUACAUUGUGCUGAGCAACAUUGCGACCAUGACUGUGGCACGGAGAGACAUGUUUGAGGCUUACUUGAAAAGUUUCUACAUAAGGUCGAGUGACCCAACUCAUAUUAAGCUUCUGAAGCUUGAAAUUCUGACCAGUUUAGCUACUGAGACCAACAUUUCCGUAAUUCUAAGAGAACUCCAGACAUACGUCACCAGUACUGACAAGGAGUUUGCUGCAGCCACCAUCCAGGCCAUUGGGCGAUGUGCCAGCAACAUCGCAGAAAUCACAGACACCUGUCUCAGUGGACUAGUCCAUCUCAUGUCCAACAGGGAUGAGAGUGUUGUAGCAGAGAGCGUGGUGGUGAUAAAAAAGCUGCUUCAAAUGCAGACCACAGAACAUAAAGACAUCAUAACACACAUGGCAAAGAUGGUGGACGAGAUCACCGUCCCCAUGGCGAGAGCCAGCAUCCUGUGGUUGAUCGGGGAGUACAGUGAGAGGGUGCCCAAAAUAGCCCCCGAUGUUCUCAGGAAAAUGGCCAAGUCAUUCAUAGAUGAGGAGGACAUAGUUAAAUUACAGAUCCUUAACUUGGCUGCCAAAAUGUGUAUCACCAACUCCAAACAGACCCGCCUCCUGUGUCAGUAUGUGUUCAAUCUAGCCAAGUACGACCAGAACUAUGACAUCCGAGACAGGUCUCGAUUUCUCAGACAGCUGAUUCUCCCUGCUGAAAAAGGACCACUAGCAAAACAUGCCAAAAAAAUACUGCUAGCCUCGAAACCUGCCCCAGUUCUUCAAUCAAAAUUUGAAGACAGAGAUCAGUAUCAGCUGGGAACCCUCUCUCACAUUCUGAACAACAAAACAACGGGAUACAAAGACCUCCCAGAGUGGCCCGAGGAAGCCCCCGACCCCUCGGUCAGGAAUGUUGAGAUCCCUGUCCCAGAAGUCACCACCAAAAAAAGUGAAAGAAAGAAGGCCACAAAAGAUAAAAGCUUCUACUCAGAAUCAGAGUCAAGUUCAGAAGAUGAAGAUUCAGAUGAAGAGAGUGAUGAUUCUGAUGAGGAUGAAGAAAGUGAAGAGGAAAGUGAGGAGGAAUCAGAUGAUGAAGAUGAAAGUGAGGAUGAAGAGGAGUCUGAGGAUUCAGACAUUCCUCAGAAAAACAAUGCUCCUCCUAAACAAAGUGCACCCAAGAAAGCACCCAAAGUAGAGAAGAGUGAAAGUGAAGAGGAGGAAAGUUCCUCUGAAGAGGAGAGCUCCUCGGAGGAAAGUGAGGAGGAAAAACCCCCACCCAAGUCCAAGGCCAGCAAAAAGAAACCAGCCAAGGAAACAAAAGCAGCCAAUCAGAACAACACAGAUUUAUUACUGGAUAUAGAUUUAUUUGGAUCUUCUAAUGGUGUGACCAGCAGUGGAGGCACCCAAGGAAGUAUUCUGACCCCCAGUAUGGCCAGCGCCAUGAGUAACUUGACAAUAAGUGGGGCAUCGUCUACCAGUUCUUCAAAUUUUGUUCAGCCUAUGAACAUCCCCCUAAAGUCCUAUGACCUCCUGAACAGGAUGACUGGCAAUGGAUUAGGAAUUACUUACAAGUUUACCAGGAAAAGUAACAUUACCGAAGGAGAAGUCUGAUGCCAAGUCUGUGGUGACAAACGUCCUUACAGUGGCCAACAUGCUCCAGGUGCCGUCUAGUGAAUCGGACACGGUCUAUCGUUUUGCGGCCAAAACCAUGAGUGAAGGAGUGUUAGUGCUUGUAUCUGUGUCAGUGAACGAGGAAUCGGCAAACAUUGUGGUCAACUGCGAGAAGAUGGUGAUCGGGACUAUGUUACUUAAAGACCUCAAAUCUCUACUGGCAAAGAGCUAGUGGAAUUUCGUUUAUUAUGUUUUUACUGAUAAAAAAUCAUUGACAAUCAGACUUCAAAAUUUGUCAAAAUGUUCUAAAAUGAGGAUUUGAAAGAACCUGAGAUUUCUAAAAUACUGUUUUAGUGCUAUAUGUAUUUAAUGAACCAAAUGUGAAUUUUUUUCUGAAAUGAGAAAAAUUAAUAAAUUUCAUAGUUUUUUUUUAAUGUGAAAAAUAUUCCAUUGGUCAUUAUUGGAAAAUAACCUUUUAUUAAUGAGACAACCUCUGCAGCUAAGUUAUGAAAAAGUCAUUGACUAACAUUUCCAAUCAUUUAAAAGAGGGGGGUGUAGUACAUGUAGGUUGUAAAAGGUCACUCACAAAAUAAGAUUAUAUGGGGAAAAUUAUUGGAGACUUUUGUAGCCCAGGUGUAGUUUAAGUGCUUAAAACAAAUGGGGCCUAGUCUUGUAAGCCAAAGGGCAUGUGCAACUUUGUAGAAUUAGUCAUACUAGUAUUUCAAAGUAUAAAAGUAUUUAACUGCUUUAAGUUGUAAACCAUGAUUGGAUGUACAUGCACAGUAGAUGUCAGUAUUGAUUGAUCUUUUAUUUUAUAUUGAUUGAGUUGAUUCAGUUCGAUUCUACCCUUUGAAAGAUUGUACAAUUUUUAAAUCAAUAGAGAGAAAAAUGAAAAACUUGCAGACUGAUGUGGUGUAUUCAUUUCUUUAUAAUGAGAGAAAACCAAAUUGAAUGAUAAAAAGUUGAAAUAUCAGUGAAGCAUGUGUAUCUAUGUGAUAAUUGAGAAGAAUUUGUUUAUGAAUGCAUUCAUAUAAAUAUAUACUAGAUCAAAUAUUCUUGUUAUUCACUUAUCUGUGUUAUUCUUCAUGUACAUCAAUCUUUUAUGUUGCUUUGAUAUUGAAGAUUUAAUAAAAUAAAAC
rnacentral:misc_RNA from 1 species